rnacentral:rRNA from 1 species
GUUGGUGCUUUGUCAGAGGGGGUACACCCGAUCUCAUUCCGAACUCGGCAGUUAAGCCCUCUAGAACCAAUGGUACUCAGCGUUACAGUUGGGGAGAGUAGGUAAGCGCCAACA